UCGAUGGGUAAAGAUCAUAUUAAUGUAAUUAGACUAAUGGUGUCACUAUUAGUCAAUUUGUCAACAGUUUUGUGCGAUUGCGAAUAACUGUAUUGUCAGUAUAUUUAGCAAAUAGCUUUCAUAAGUUUCUUAAUAUUUGCUUUUCGAGGAUGAUAAGUACAUUUAACCAUAUUUAAAGGCCAGUCGAAUCAUAUUAUUUAACCUUAGCAUUAUCUUGAAAAAGAUUGAUAUUAAAUCAAGUUUUUCAGCCCUUAAAGAAAAGAUCUUUCCUAAAAAAAGUUCAAUUCGGCAACCAGCAACCAGAGAUCAUUCUGGUGAUAUACAAGGAUGGAAUAACUUUAGAAGAGUUUUGAUGAAAAAUCACCCACUAUAGUUCUAAUAUCUCGUAAAAGGAAAUAGAGCUUUCCUUAUAUUUUUAGUAAUCCUUGUAGCCUUUUUCCAGAACUAAUUGUGGAUUUAGCCAUUGUAAUUCCCUUUAUUAAUUUUACUUCAGCGUUCGAUAAUACUAGAGCAGUUACCUUUUCCUAAGUUAAAUGAUAAGACACACAUUUAGCUUCACGAGUUCUUUUGUAAGGAGUUCUAGUACAAAAAAGACUAGUUUCAGCGUUAGCCAGAUCUACUUGGCUGCAUGUGGAUUUGUGAGGCAGUGAGCAACCAAACAGGCUGUUAUGCAAAUAUCGCGUCGAUCUGUCGUGACCCACCGAGGCUUUCUAGAGGUCAAUAGCCCUCGAAAAACCAAUGAGACAUUCUGAAUUGAAAGACUUAAUGGCACUAUAUGGGGAAACUAUAGGCGCAGUAGUUAUCUAAUGGGACAGGCAGAGAGUCUACCUAUUUGUGCCUUAGCCUGUCCAUUGUCAGGUACUUGUCUAACAGACUCUUCAUUCAUGCUACAGCUACACAUUUUGCUAUACCGAUUAUAAGUUCGGGGCCUACCAGCUAUUUCACGGAUAGGGGUGUAGCAAGGGACUUCGCUUUCUCGUUUUCAACAUAGCCAGGCACAGACAAGCUGAACCAAGCAGGCUACCUUCACCAGGACCUUUAUGCACUCCAGUACGAGCUUGGAUUUUUGUCCGUAAUAGAGCUAAUGGCAGCCUUGCUGUCUAAGCACAUGGAUAUGACUGUAUCGCGGUGUUGGCAGUUUAGGAUUUUCUGUUCGCAUUUCAGUACAGCGAGGAAGGCUGGAAGAGAGUAGCGUGCAUACCCAACGAAUAUACCUGUAUGCUGGCAUAUGAAGCUCCCUUCAGAACUCUGUACCAACUCUAUUAUUUUGGAGCCAUCUGUAUACCAAAUGGUCCCUUUGGCAAUGUAGACCCAAUGGAGUCCUGCUUCUCCUCUUGGCCUGCACAAAACCCUUGCAAUUCACGAUCUCAGUCUCACUGUCCAUCAGAAGGAGAGAACAUUCCUAUACGACCUGUGUUCAGAUUUUUGCAUGACUAGUCUCACCAGCCCGUCACCAAGGACAUGUAGCCUAUGCAUAGUCCUCUCAUGAAAUCAAUAGCAUAAAAUAAAGAAUACAAGACGUGUCUUUUAGGAAAAUGAAAAUAACAUACACAUUAAAUCACAAAACUAAAGAGGAUUCCUUGCAAAUAUCAGAUAUACACCCAGUAUACAACCUCCACACAUGUUUUCUUUCAUAUUUUUGGGUAAAUUUCAUCAGCUAUUACUGCUAUUAAUAUACUAGUUAAGUAUAUAAUUUUCAGGUGAUUACUUAAUUACGACAAUAAAAGGUUUAUUUAUAUAUCAAAAUUUAAUAACAAAAAUACUU